rnacentral:tRNA from 1 species
AAUUAUUGAACUUGAACAAGUUUAUAUUUUGAAAAUAUAAGAUAGAAGUAAUAAUCUUCUAAUAAUUU